rnacentral:rRNA from 1 species
GACGAACGCUGGCGGCGUGCUUAACACAUGCAAGUCGAGCGGUAAGGCCCUUCGGGGUACACGAGCGGCGAACGGGUGAGUAACACGUGAGUAAUCUGCCCAUCACUUCGGGAUAACUCCGGGAAACCGGUGCUAAUACCGAAUAUGACCACUUCAGGCAUCUGAUGGUGGUGGAAAGUUCCGGCGGGGAUGGAUGAGCUCGCGGCCUAUCAGCUUGUUGGUGGGGUAGUGGCCUACCAAGGCUUCGACGGGUAGCCGGCCUGAGAGGGUGACCGGCCACACUGGGACUGAGACACGGCCCAGACUCCUACGGGAGGCAGCAGUGGGGAAUAUUGGACAAUGGGCGAAAGCCUGAUCCAGCAACGCCGCGUGAGGGAUGACGGCCUUCGGGUUGUAAACCUCUUUCAGCAGGGACGAAGCGCAAGUGACGGUACCUGCAGAAGAAGCACCGGCCAACUACGUG